GUUCAACACAGGUGGAUGGAGAAUGUGCCUCAGGAAAUAACGUGUUCUCUCUGGAGGUGUUAAGAGCUCAGAUUUAAAUCGGCUUUGAGAUAGCAUUGAAAGACUAAGGUAAAUGGUAAAACAUAUGUUGACUGAGUUUGAAGCAAGAUGGGUCUGCAAUGACUCUGCAAAGAUGCCGUUUAGAUACAAUCUCCUGAAUUUGGCUCUUCUUCGCUGUAUGUCUUAGUGCAAAAACUUGUCUUAUGGGGUCCUAUAAUUACUUUCAACAUCUUUUUACAAUGGUGUGCAUUUUUUGAAUACAGCAUUAUGGAAUGACGCAGGAAGGAAAAGGAAACAAACCCUUCAUGUGUUGUCUGAGCCCAGCAGGGAAAUAGAAGUGCUCUCCGAAAAGAGAGAAAAUAAAUAAAAAUGCAAACAAAAAAAGGAAUGAAUCCUCCACGUUUAUUUAAGAACACCUGAACGCCAUUUAGAUAGCUCCCGAGGAAUUCACUAACCGCUAGAUGACCCCUACAUGCACUGGGAUACACCAGACUGGGAAGAAGAAAUCUCAGCUGCCCCAUCCUCCGACGUUCUCAUGGGACACAAUAGAUCUUCUUCAUGGAGACAGGAGCAAUUUUCAGCAGCUGACCUCUCUUUGCAACGUACCUGGGGAAAGCUCUGGAAUGCUCGCUUCAGUCUGCGUCAGCCGUGUGCAAAAAUACCUCCCAGAGUUGAACAGUGAUGAGAGCAGCUAUUCUGUGAUGGGAAAGCGGGGUAACCCCUAAGUAUAACCAAAGGGUGAUAGCAGGAUAUGUUUAAUAUAUUCCACUUAAGGAAGUAUUGCUGUUUACAAAGACGACGAGAUCUUCGUGCCCUUUUGACGGUUAAAGCAGAAAUGUAAAGGAUGUAAAUGACUUUCCACAGGAGCUGUAGAUCAAACCAAAUGUGGUAGACGGUGUGGAAUCAGUUUGCUGCUGCUGAAGCCAAUGACUUUCAUAGGUGUUUCCUGAAGCAGUUAAUGUGAUUACAGCCCUCUCAAGCUCUACAAACACCUGAAGGACAUUUGCUGGUUGCAGACCUGACUGCUAAUGGACUUGAAAAAGCCGUUAAGGAGAGUCUAGAGGUCAAACUGAAGCACCUCAGAGGUAGAGGUUGUGGGGCUGGCGCAGGGUGUGGCUGUGGUGGGAUGCUCCUCGGCAGCGAUGGGCACCACCUGGAGCUGGGGUCACAGCUGCCGCCCACACUGAGCCCCUCCCCAGCCUGAGCAGCGUAAAAGGAGGUGCUAUGGGAGGGUUUGUUCGCUCAUGGCUGUGUAGCUCCGCUGCACGCUGAGUACCGUUGUUCUGGAGAGCCACCAUCACCUCCUGCUCCUUCACUCGCAGCUCCGUGGCCCAUCAAGGUAAGGACAACGCUGCUUUCUGAUGGUUUUGAUACGUCGUAUGGAGUCCUGUGUGUUGUUUGGUCCUGUUUGGAGGAUUUAAACUGAACUUUUGCAGUGCUCGUAAUGGAGAGGUGUGAGGCUGUGGUGUGCCUCUGGGUCAGCUGGAGCCUUGUGGUGUGCUUGCCCAGGUCUCUUCUUUCUUGUGGUUAAAUGGGACCCAAUGGCUUUAAAUUGGGUAAAUCCAGGUUUGGUUGGAAUGAAGCUGUGGAUGGCUUUAAAUGGAGAA